rnacentral:pre_miRNA from 1 species
UUUAUACUCCCUCCAUCCCAAAAUUCUUGUCUUAAAUUUGUCUAAAUACGGAUGCAUCUAGUUACAUUUUAGUGUUAGAUACAUCCAUAUCUAAACAAAUGUAAGACAAGAAUUUUGGGACGGAGGGAAUACUAC